rnacentral:lncRNA from 1 species
GAAAUAGUAUGACUUUGUGAAAAAACGCAUACAGAUUUUACUGCUGAUGUAGAACCAGAUUUUAAGAUGAAAAUCCUCACUGAAUAAGUAUUCAAAACUUUUCUCCUAACUGUUAUUCCUAUAGCAUAGGUAUAUUCACAGUCCUUUAAUAAAAGCUUUUUCUUCAUAUAAAUUCUUAGGCUACAGAGUAACAAUAUGUAUUGAUUGAACUGAACGUUUCCUCAGAGGGCACAUCAAGAUUACUGUUAAGAUUUCAGAUGAGGAAUUGCAUUUGUGAAGGUGAUGUUUCAACUGUACUUCCUUAGUAUCACACCAUGGAGCAUGCGAAUAGGAUUUCUUUGUGUGAAGAACCAGGAGAAUCUUGAUGCCUUUAUUUUGAACCUCACAGCAAACUAAUGUUAUUUCUGAAGCUGGGUGUGUUGAAGUGUUCAAGUCCAGGGACAGUCCAAUGCCAUCAAAUGGGAAUGGAAGAAUUAAUCAUUGAACCAGGAAAAGCAAUGUGAUUUUGCUGCCAAAAAUCUGGUAGGAUAUCACAAGAAAAAGUAAAGCAAAAUAUAAGUUUUUAAAUAUUUUGGUUUUCA